rnacentral:rRNA from 1 species
GCAGGCGCGUAAAUUACCCACUCCCAGCCCGGGGAGGUAGUGACGAAAAAUAACAAUACAGGACUCAUAUCCGAGGCCCUGUAAUUGGAAUGAGUACACUUUAAAUCCUUUAACAAGGACCUAUUGGAGGGCAAGUCUGGUGCCAGCAGCUGCGGUAAUUCCAGCUCCAAUAGCGUAUAUUAAAGUUGUUGCGGUUAAAACGUUCGUAGUUGAGCUUGUGCUUCAUACGGGUAGUAUAAUCUAUAAUUUUGGAUUAUGCGUUACCUUAUGUAUGUAAGCGUAUUACUGGUGGAGUUCUAACAUAUAAUUGUAAUACUUGUAUUAUCUCUUAUAUGUACCUCCUAUUAAAAAAACCUGCUUCAGUGCUCUUCAUCGAG